rnacentral:rRNA from 1 species
CGCGUAGGUGGUUUGAUCAGUCGGAUGUGAAAGCCCCGGGCUUAACCUGGGAAUUGCAUUCGAUACUGUCAGGCUAGAGUAUGGUAGAGGGAAGUGGAAUUCCAGGUGUAGCGGUGAAAUGCGUAGAUAUCUGGAGGAACAUCAGUGGCGAAGGCGACUUCCUGGACCAAUACUGACACUGAGGUGCGAAAGCGUGGGGAGCGAACA